rnacentral:lncRNA from 1 species
CUUAUUGACAAGAGAGUUUUCACAGUGUAUGCUUAUGAAUUUGGCUCUGGUACGAGACUCUAUGUGACAGACAAUCACGUACGUAAACCCAAAGUGACGGUCUACCCAGCGUCCAACCCUGAGUCGAAUGGGAAGACCACCCUGAUAUGUCUGGCUAGAGACAUGUUUCCAGACUUGGUCAAGAUCUCAUGGAAGAUGGAGGAUGAAUACGGCCAAACAGUGGAGGUGUCCAAAGCAGAGACGGAACAGCUAGAGCAGAGGGAGGAAGGACAGACGACCAGUAUGAUCAUCAUUGAUAAAGAGAAUGCGUACAAGAACAAAUACAGAUGUUAUGUGGAGCAUGAAGGGGACCCUCAAGAUGUUGACAUGCUAAAAGUGGCUGCUUCAGGACAGAGGCUGCAACAGGACCAGAUAUCAGAGACUAAGAGAGAGAAAGAGAGUGUCACCUUCAGCUGCAAAGUUACUGGUUCGUGUUCAGGUAACAAAGUCUACUGGUACCAGAAGAAAGAGGGUGAAGCCUUCACUUGGAUUAAUUUUGAUGCCAAUUCUGGCAGCAGUGAUACCCCUCAUCCUCAGAGACAAGAUUUCUAUAUUUGGAGGGAGUCUGCGUCUCACCCCAGUGAGCUGAAGAUCCAGUUCGUUAAAGUGUCCCAUUCUGCCACCUAUUACUGUGCCUGUAGGGUCUUAGGAACC